UGGGUUUAAAGGGUGCGUAGGCGGCCAGAUAAGUCAGAGGUGAAAGUUUCCGGCUCAACCGGGAGAUUGCCUUUGAUACUGUUUGGCUUGAAUCAGAGUGAGGUGGGCGGAAUGUGGCAUGUAGCGGUGAAAUGCAUAGAUAUGUCAUAGCACAUCGAUUGCGAAGGCAGCUGGCUGGAUAUGUAUUGACGCUGAGGCAAGAAAGCGUGGGGAGCAAACAGGAUUAGAUACC
rnacentral:rRNA from 1 species